AAUUCAAUUUUUUAGAAACAUAUUUAUGACACAAAAUACAUAUUCACAGCAUAUUCCUAAAUACAAAACUAUAGCUGAGAUUUUAUUCCAAUUAGCUAAGGUAUCGAAUAUUUUAUGCUUUCCGAUCAAGGAAUUUUUUUUACCUAACUUAUGAGUCUAUAAAUACUCUUAUGCUUCACGUCUCAUAACAUCAUCAUACACAAAAGCAACGAUCUAAAAAACCCAGCAAACACAUGAAUUAAGAGAGAUUUAACACAGCUUAUUCUCUAAAGGUUACUCAUUCUCAAGGCAAUGUUGAAAACAAUACCAAAUCAAAGUUUAGAAUUCCAUCACAACUAACCUUUAGGAGAUGUGGUAACACUAUUUUUCUAUGGAUUAUCAGAUUCAUUAGUAAAGGUAAUGAUUUACACUAUACUUUUGUAUAUCCAAACCACAUGUCAGGAGACGAAAAAAAAACACUAAAUCUGAGUUAUUUCAUUAAGCAACACUCAAAACUAUAUAACUACAACUCUUGGAAAUGAAAUUUUGUUACUAACCUUUGUCUCUAUUGCUUGUGAGGACAGAUGACACGACUCUUCACUAAUCAUUUACUUCCACUUUCAUAAUAAAAAAUUAAGCUUCACCUAUGAAGCAAAACAAACGUUAGUUACAUAGAUUAAGAAUCUUUUAAGGUACAUGUUAUAAAGAAAACAAUUUCUUAUCUUUGUGUUGGUCACGAGACUGAUAAGCUGAGGGUUCCUUUGGUAUUCAUGAAGAAGAAGGCUAGAACCAGUGGAAGAAGGGCUCAAGUCUGGGGCUCGAGCUGGGGAAAGAAGAAUGCAACAUCAAGUGGCUAAGUGAAGGCAUUCAAGAGAAGAUAAGAGGAGAGUUAAGGAAGAGCAGAAAAAUAGACAGAAAUGAUAGAAAAUAGUGAGCUUUACCUAAACAGCCGCUCAAAGAAAGAAUAAGAUUAUUGUUGUAUAAAGCUUGAAUCAUUUUAUCUUCUAUAGAUAAUCUGAUAUUAAAUGAUUAGUUGAUAAAUCAAUUAGAUUGUUUAACUUUUGUAAAAUAAAGACACAUGAAUAUAUAUGUUACAACAUUUCUGUAAAGUAGCUACAA